rnacentral:rRNA from 1 species
GUAGGGAAUAUUGGGCAAUGGUCGGAAGACUGACCCAGCCAUGCCGCGUGCAGGAAGACGGCCCUCUGGGUUGUAAACUGCUUUUAUCUGGGAAGAAAAAGGCCAUGCGUGGCAAAUUGCCGGUACCAGAUGAAUAAGCACCGGCUAACUCCGUGCCAGCAGCCGCGGUAAUACGGAGGGUGCGAGCGUUGUCCGGCUUUAUUGGGUUUAAAGGGUGCGUAGGCGGCUGAUUAAGUCAGCGGUGAAAGACUUCGGCUUAACCGGAGCAGUGCCGUUGAUACUGGUUGGCUUGAGUGUCGGAGGGGUACAUGGAAUUGAUGGUGUAGCGGUGAAAUGCAUAGAUACCAUCAGGAACACCGAUAGCGAAGGCAUUGUACUGGCCGACAACUGACGCUGAUGCACGAAAGUGUGGGGAUCGAACAGGAUUAGAAACCCUGGUAGUCC